rnacentral:SRP_RNA from 1 species
GCCGGCACGGUGGUGUCUGCCUGUAGUCCCAGCUACUCAGGAGGCUGAGGCAGGAGGAUCUCUUGAGCCCUGGAGUUCUGGGCUGUAGUGCGCUAUGCCAUUUGGGUGUCCGCACUAAGUUUGGCAUCAACAUGGUGACCUCCCGGUAGCGGGGGACCACCAGGUUACCUAAGGAGGGGUGAACUGGCCCAGGUCAGAAAUGGAGCAGGUCAAAACUCCCGUGCUGAUCAGUAGUGGGAUCGCGCCUGUGAAUAGCCACUGCACUCCAGCCUGAGCAACAUAGGGAGACUCCGUCUCU